AUAACACUCUUUUGUACAACAUUUGAAUUAAUUAUUAAAUAAAAUUUAAAAAGAUGUUUAUAUAUAUUUAAAAUCACUUAUAUUACCAGUGACAUGUAUAUUUCAGAUACCCCACUUGGUAUUCAGGAAGUUGCAGCCAUAUCUUUGUUGGAUAUCCUUUUAAAAUAGCUUCAUAAUUGAGAACUUCCUUGGAAGUCUUAGACAUCUAAUAUAAUAAUCGAAUAAAAAUCCCCCAUAUAGCUACUGAAAUAUUUUUCUGUUGGUCCAUUUUCUUCAGCUGUAACUCUCUUCUUCCAUGUCAAAAAAUAAUGUAUUUCCUUCAUUUAAAACAUAAGUGACUAUAUUAGUUUUAUUACAUUCAGAAGAUCUGUUGCUUUAGGGUAGGUAUAGAAUAUCUGGAUCUUAGUUUGACCAUUAUGUAUCAAGGACACACUGAUUGU
rnacentral:lncRNA from 1 species